UCGAACAUCGUUGAUAAAAAAGUCAAGAAGGAAGAAUGUAAAAGCGGUGAAAAACAAAACAAACCUACUGAAAUCAUCAUUCUUAAAUUCUAUUAUUUCCUUAAACUAUCUUAAAAUUACAAUAAAAGUGAAUUAGCGAUUAGCGAUAGUUGGUUCAUGUGUGAGUAAAAUCAGAGUGGACUAUUGUACAUACAAAGCUAGUACGAGUAUUAAACACUAGAACAGGAGUUAGUAAACUAAAUCCAAAGCUCUACAUCCAACUAUCAACUAGCGAACC